AGUUAGAGGUACUUUCACAAGCCAAUGCUAACUAGCGUUAGCGCAGUGCCUGGAAGUCUAUGGGUAUCUGGUAGCAUAAAAUGGUAUCCACAAGUUCACCUGACUCUGGGGAAGUAGAUAAAGGGCAACAUUGCAAAAUCCUGAAGUAUCUCUUUAUUAAAGCAGUUUAGUCGUCCUCUAAAAUGAGCUAGAAUGAUCCAAUCUGUAGCUAGCUAACUAAACUACAAAUGUAAUUUAAGUCGCUUAGCUAGAUAGCUAACAUUAGCUAGCUAGGUUGAUGCAAUCAUGCCACCAGGAGUUUAUGUUUAUAAUUUUGACUCUCUAACCAGGUAUACAUCCAACCUUUUUAUGUGGGUAAAGUACAUGUCGGUUUAAAAAACGCUAUGAAAGGCCUUACGGGGGAAAAAAUUCGGUCAACUUUAAAAUUCUCGAGAAAACAAAAUACUUUUUGUGUUGCUAAAAUUAAUAAUGUGAGAAAUGUCGAUGGAAGCGCUUUUAUGACGAAAUAUUUAUUUAAUAACCAUCAUAUCGAAGUUAACUUGGAGCCCCAGGAAAGCAUGCCGUUUAUUAGGCUACAGAUUAAAUAAAUGAUGAUGAACUUCACAGGGUGGUGAAAGUGCAAGGUGAUGAUAUUUAUUGGAACGAGCAUCAAGCUCAAGGGUUUUAUUCGAGUGACAUGACCGUCAAUGCUUGGUGGCCAUUUGACAAAUAAAAAUGGUCUUGCUCUUUAGUCCAUAAUAAUCUCAUGUAUCUGCCGCUGCUGGCUCGAGCGGAAGUGCCAAUACCAGAGUGAGCACACUCACUACAUGUAUAUAACACAUUUAUUUUGAGAAAACCAUCAGCAGAGUUGAAAAUGCAAUGGAAACCCAUUUAACUUUUCUUUUCUAUUCAGUACAUUUCGGAAUUUAAAUGUAAGGUUUUUUUAUGUGCACUAUGUCAUCACACAGUCUUUUAUCUGCAACAAGUCAAUUUGAUGGAAACGUCUCUGGUGGGAAAAUGUGCAUAUUGUUUUUAAUAUGCACAUGUCGCCAAUUGGAUGGAAAUCUAGAUUCUUAAUAAAUGUUUUUGGCACAGGGUAAAGAAGAUGAAACGAUCUGUUGCUGCUACCAAAGGACAAGGGAUUCUGAAGUUCUUGAAAAGGCAAUCAGUUCCUACAGUGAGUGCCAGAGAACCAACCAUCUGGUGGGCCAGAUGGAGGCCAGGACAACAACACAAGGUUAAUGGUUUUAUGAUUUAAAGUCACUCGGGCUUGGGCUCCCAAGGGGCGCAGCGGUCUAAAGCACUGCGAAGAGGUGUCACUACAAUCCCUGGUUCAAAUCCAGGCUGUAUCACAUCUGGCUGUGAUUGGGAGUCCCAUAGGGAGGUGCACAAUAGGCCAGGGUAGGCCAUCAUUGUAAAUAAGAAUUUGUUUUUGUUUGUUUUUUAAUUAAAAAGUGUAACAAAGUCUACUGUGUAAAGCAGGGUUCCCUAAUUGGUGGCACGCUGACAAAUUUUAUUUGGACACCCAAGUUUUCAGAGCAUUUUUUUUUGUUUUUGUUAUUUGCUGGACAUAAUAGACUAAAAAUCAGGAAAUCAGCUUCAAGUGAUUUUAACUAAAGACAUUUAUUCCCAAGUAUUCCCACGCAUAAUAAAGAGAAAAAUGUGAUUGUAUACAAAUGUAAGCAAGGUUUGAAAUGUUUAACAUUAUAUUGAUUUCGGCUUCUUGAGGUCAAUUUGCUGUCUAUAAAUGAUUUGUAAUUAUGUUCCGGACCCCAGAUCAUCUGCUCAAGAAAAUAUCCCGCAGCUGAAUCUAGUUGAUGAAAUCUGGUGUAUAGUGUUAAAUGAACCCUUGCAACGAACAACCAUAUAUGUGUGAGAAAAAUUCAGAUAUUGUCAAAUAUUGAUCUUUUAUAUGUAUAUGACAUCAAAAGUGUAAUUAUUGAAAGAUAAUUUCAUCACAGUUCUCACUUUCAAUUAUAGUUGCUAGUUUUUUAUUUAAUACUUACAGUAUUUUCCAUACUUUUAUGAUUGUUAACUUCUCUGGGAUAGUUGGGACGCUAGCGUCCCAACUGACAAGCACCCCCAACCCCCCCCUCACUGAUUAGCAUCGCGUCACAAUGAAAAGGAAAAUCUAAAUAUCAUAAAAUCACAAGUCCAAGACACCAAAUGAAAGAUACAGAUCUUGUGAAUAAAGCCACCAUUUCAGAUUUUUAAAAAUGUUUUACAGGGAAGACAAAAUAUGUAAAUCUAUUAGCUAACCACGUUAGCAAAAGACACCAUUUUUCUUUGUCCACCAUUUUUUCUCUCCACCAGUAGCUAUCACCAAUUCGGCCAAAUAAAGAUAUUGAUAGCCACUAACCAAGAAAAAACCUCAUCAGAUGACAGUCUGAUAACAUAUUUAUUGUAUAGGAUAGGUUUUGUUAGAAAAAUGUGCAUAUUUCAGGUAUAAAUCAUAGUUUACAAUUGCACCCACCAUCACAACUCGACUAGAAUAAAUACAGAGAGCAACGUGUAUUACCUAAUUACUAAUCAUAAAACAUUUCUUAAAAAUACACAGCUCACAGCAAUGGAAAGACACAGAUCUUGUGAAUUCAGACAAUAUUUCAGAUGUUCUAAGUGUUUUACAGCGAAAACACAAUAAAUCGUUAUAUUAGCAUACCACAUGUGCAAACGUUACCCCAGCAUUGAUUCAAGCCAAAGAGAGCGAUAACGUAAUCAUCGCCAAAAUAUAUUAAUUUUUUCACUAACCUUCUCAGAAUUCUUCCGAUGACACUCCUGUAACAUCAUAUUACAACAUACAUAUAGAGUUUGUUUGAAAAUGUGCAUAUUUAGCCACAAAAAAACGUGGUUAUACAAUGACAAUACUAGCAAAACUAGCCUGAAAAUGUCGGGCGCCAUAUUUGACAGUGAUCUUGUCUCAUGAAUAACUAUUCAUAAACUUGACUAAAAAAAUAUAAGUUGGACAGCUAUCGAAAGACAAAUUAGUUCUUAAUGCAAUCGCUGAAUUACAUUUCUAAAAUUAUCCUUACUGUGCAAUACAGGGUUCGCCAAGCGAAGCUAUACCAAAGAAAAUGGCGGAAUAUGCGUUUAACAUUUUUCGACAGAACAACGAUUUAUCAUCUUAAAUAUUUCUUACUAUGAGGUGAUCUUCCAUCAGAAUCUUGGGCAAUGUAUCCUUUCUUGGGUCUAAUCUUCUUUUGGUCGAAAGAUGUCCUCUUGUCCGUCGAAAUGCCCACUAACGUUCGACCGGGACCCCGAAACGUGCCCGGCGCUUCAAAGUGCAUCACAAAGCAAUGCCUCAAAAUCGCACUAAACGGAUAUAAAUUGCUAUAAAAUGGUUUAAAUUAACUACCUUAUGAUGUUUUUAACACCUAUAACGAGUAAAAACAUGACCGGCGAUAUAUUACUGGCUAAACAACAGCUUGGAAAGAGAGCAGGUCCGACGUCCAUCGUGCGUCAGGCGCAGGGAGCAAAAGAACGGUACAUCCGGUCUUUGGCCUUUUAUACAGGCCCUGAUUGCGCAAUCGACUCCAUUCAAAUUGUCACCACUUACUGACAUCUAGAGGAAGGCGUGGGCAGUGUUUGUAUCCUCAUAGCAUUUACAGGGACUUUAAAACUGACCUGGGACCAGAGGCCAAGAUUUCUGAAAUCUCACUCCCUGUCAGGAAAAGUGCUGUAGAAUGAGUUCUGUUCCACUCAGAGACAUAAUUCAAACGGCUAUAGAAACUAGAGAGUGUUUUCUAUCCAAUAAUAAUAAUAAUAUGCAUAUUGUACGAGCAAGAAUUGAGUACUAGGAAGUUUAAUUUGGAGAUCAAUUUUCGCUAAGUCGAAACAGCACCCCCUAUAUCCCUUCUUCAGGAUCGGUGUCCCGUCCACGGGACAGUUGAACUAACGUAGGCAACCAGGUGAUUAGCAUGAGGUAAGUAACAAGAAAAUGUCCCAGGACAUAGACAUAUCUGAUAUUGGCAGAAAGCAUAAAUUCUUGUUAAUCUAACUGUACUGUCCAAUUUACAGUAGCUAUUACAUUGAAAGAAUACCAUGCUAUUGUUUGAGGAGAGUGCACAAUUUUUAACAAAGUUAUUAAUUAACAAAUUAGGUAUAUUUGGGCAGUCUUGACACAAAAUGUUGAACAGAAAUGCAAUGGUUCAUUGGAUCAGUCUAAACUUCGCACAUAUACUGCUGCCAUCUAGUGGCCAAAAUCUAAAUUGCAGCUGGGCUGGGAAAAUGCAUUUUGGCCUUUCUCUUGAUUUUCAAAGAUGAUGGUACAAUAAAAUUCAAAAAACGGUUGGUUUUAUCUUUUACAAGAUCUAUUGUGUUAUAUUCUCCUACAUUCCUUUCACAUUUACACAAACUUCAAAGUGUUUCCUUUCAAAUGGUACCAAGAAUAUGCAUAUCCUUGCUUCAGGGCCUGAGCUAUAGGCAGUUAGAUUUGGAUAUGUAAUUUCAGGCGAAAAUUUAAAAAAGGGAAAGUAUACUUAAGAGUUAACAUUGUGUGUGUAUAGAUAUUAUAAUAUUUAAAGACAUUGUAAGAAUUACACUCAGCCCUGCUAUAAUAGUUCACUAAACUACAGAGUAUGUUGUCAAUUAAAGUUGUAGUCUCUGGCU